AGAGUUUGAUCCUGGCUCAGAUUGAACGCUGGCGGCACGCCUAACACAUGCAAGUCGAGCGGUAACAUGAUGUGUAGCAAUACACAUUGAUGACGAGCGGCGGACGGGUGAGUAACACGUAGGAACUUGCCCAGAAGAGGGGGAUAACCAAGGGAAACUUUGGCUAAUACCGCAUAAUACUCGUGAGAGGAAAGCUUUUG
rnacentral:rRNA from 1 species